rnacentral:rRNA from 1 species
GGUAGCUUGCGCUCCCCGGUCUCGAAGCCCCGACGAGUAGGAGGGUCGCAGCGGUGAGCGUCGAAGGGACUCCGGCGUGAGCCGGCCUGGAGCCGCCGCUGGUGCAGAUCUUGGUGGUAGUAGCAAAUACUCGAGAGAGACCCUAGAGGGCUGAUGUGGAGCAGGGUUCCAUGUGAACAUCAGUUGGACAUGGGUCAGUCGGUCCUAAGUCCAUGGCGAAGGCCAGUUCCUACCGUGCAGGCAAAUGUCAAAACGUGUCGUGUUGCGAGUGCGUGGUGGGUGGGGGCGGAGAACCGUGUUCAGGAUGUUCCAACCGAGCUCUCUUCCCCCCUCUCCCCUCCCRCGCCCUCCUCCUCCUCACGUGUGCGUGAUAUGUCCAAAGAAUACUCUUCUGGACGAAAGGGAUUCCGGUAAAUAUUCUGGAACUUGGCUUCGGAGAUGCUCGGUGCCCUCGGUCGGUUACGGCCGGCCUUGGGAGUCACACUGUGGCAUAAACCCCAGUAAUGGGAUCAAAGCCCGCAUCCGUCGGCGGUGGCCCAGGGAAGAGUUUUCUUUUCUGUUUAAGACAUCUUUAGCCCUGGAAGCAACUUGCUAGGAGAGAGGGCUGUGGUACAAGGUAUCGCUG